GAUGAACGCUAGCUACAGGCUUAACACAUGCAAGUCGAGGGGUAACGAGAGGAAAGCUUGCUUUCCUUGUCGACGACCGGCGCACGGGUGAGUAACGCGUAUCCAACCUGCCCCCAACUAGGGAAUAACCUUGCGAAAGUAAGACUAAUACCCUAUAAUUUCCUCAGAUGUCAUCUGACGAGGAAUAAAGAUUUAUCGGUUGUGGAUGGGGAUGCGUCUGAUUAGCUUGUUGGCGGGGUAACGGCCCACCAAGGCAACGAUCAGUAGGGGUUCUGAGAGGAAGGUCCCCCACAUUGGAACUGAGACACGGCCCAAACACCUACGGGAGGCAGCAGUGAGGAAUAUUGGUCAAUGGGCGGAAGCCUGAACCAGCCAAGUAGCGUGCAGGAUGACGGCCCUAUGGGUUGUAAACUGCUUUUAUACAGGAAUAAAGUUAGCCACGUGUGGUUAUUUGUAGGUACUGUAUGAAUAAGGACCGGCUAAUUCCGUGCCAGCCGCCGCGGUAA
rnacentral:rRNA from 1 species